UGUAUAGAUAUCAUCAAGGCAAAUGCCCUUUGAAAAUAGGGAAAAAAUAUCUUUAUACCCAUGAAAAAAAGGUUGCAGCCCCUCCGAAUACUAGGAGUCCACAUUUCUCCCUCUGCUUUGUUCUUUCUGCUUUGCCGAGACACAAAAGCACACCUUGACCAAGUAUUAAAAUACCAGGAGCCACUUACACUUGUCUGAGAAAAAGACAACACGUUGCCUUCGUUCAGGCACGGACUAGUACUCUCCUAUUGAUCCUAUACAAUACCUUCUGAGAGAGAGUAGGCAUACAAGAGCUUUCAUACAUCGAAUGCAGACACCCGUUCUCUGGACUGCUUCUGCCAAGUUCACGAUAUCACCCUCUAGCUAGCUAGGCUUAACAAUAUCUCAUCGAAUAUUCUAGAUAUUCAUCUCCUGUUCAUCAUGCUUUGAGAUCACAAGUGGCAAGGGGAUUUACAUCUAUACCCUCCUUUCCAAGCUAUUUAGCAGGGCUCCAGAGACUAUAUGAGCUAGCCUUGAGGCAGGGAGGGGUAUUCCCAAUCUCUCAUCUCUCAAUCCUUGUACAUCCUCUUCUCUGGGCCGGGAGCUUGUUGUGUGAGUGCAUCAGCGAAUCUAGCCACCAUCCUCCAAUACUUGCCACGUCAAUCUAACCAUGCAAAGAGCCACGUCAUCCUAGAGGGUUAGGGACCAAGAAAAAGGAGGAGACAUGUUUGUCAGAACUAUGGAUGCCUUGUCAUGUGCUUGAAACAACGAUAAGCCGCUCACAAGUGUAAAUUACAGGGCAUUUUGCAAGAAAUAGGAUGCAAGUUUUUGCAUAUAUGGCACCGUGAAGGACGGCCAUUAAAAUAGCCCGAGCUAGUCCCUGUGAAAUAUGUAUUCUCCUUGCCAAGGCUACGAAAUAACAUCAAUAACAGCGAUUAUUAUGAUCAUAAUAACAACAGUAGUCAUGAUAACCAUGAUAACCAUCCUGAAGCCACUACUAGCAGCAGGGUCAUCGGACCGGUCUCGCAAUCCCGGCAUCUACCCACAUGCGUGGUAGACAUGACGCAUGCCGUGCAUGCUGCAAAUUAUUCACAGGCACUCCUACUAUUACUGCAUAUAAGGGACCCAACUUAACGGCCCAAUCCUGAGCAGACAUAUAUAUAG